rnacentral:rRNA from 1 species
CCUACGGGAGGCAGCAGUGGGGGAUAUUGCACAAUGGGGGGAACCCUGAUGCAGCGACGCCGCGUGGGUGAAGAAGCGCCUCGGCGCGUAAAGCCCUGUCAGCAGGGAAGAAAAUGACGGUACCUGAAGAAGAAGCCCCGGCUAACUACGUGCCAGCAGCCGCGGUAAUACGUAGGAUCCGAGCGUUAUCCGGAUUUAUUGGGUGUAAAGGGAGCGUAGACGGCGAAGAAAGUCUGAAGUGAAAGCCCGCGGCUUAACCGCGGAACUGCUUUGGAAACUUUUUUGCUGGAGUACCGGAGAGGUAAGCGGAAUUCCUAGUGUAGCGGUGAAAUGCGUAGAUAUUAGGAGGAACACCAGUGGCGAAGGCGGCUUACUGGACGGUAACUGACGUUGAGGCUCGAAAGCGUGGGGAGCAAACAGGAUUAGAUACCCGAGUAGUC